UACGGGGGGAGCAAGCGUUGUCCGGAUUUACUGGGCGUAAAGCGCGCGCAGGCGGUUCGUUAAGUCCGGUGUGAAAGCUCCCGGCUCAACUGGGAGAGGUCAUCGGAUACUGGCGGACUUGAGGAAGGUAGAGGAAGGUGGAAUUCCCGGUGUAGUGGUGAAAUGCGUAGAGAUCGGGAGGAACACCAGUGGCGAAGGCGGCCUUCUGGGCCUUUCCUGACGCUGAGGCACGGAAAGCGUGGGGAUCAAACAGG
rnacentral:rRNA from 1 species